rnacentral:rRNA from 1 species
AGCGAACGCUGGCGGCAGGCCUAACACAUGCAAGUCGAACGAAGUCUUCGGACUUAGUGGCGGACGGGUGAGUAACACGUGGGAACGUACCUUUUGGUUCGGAACAACUCAGGGAAACUUGAGCUAAUACCGGAUGAGCCCUUAGGGGGAAAGAUUUAUCGCCGAAAGAGCGGCCCGCGUUAGAUUAGCUAGUUGGUGAGGUAAAGGCUCACCAAGGCUACGAUCUAUAGCUGGUCUGAGAGGAUGAUCAGCCACACUGGGACUGAGACACGGCCCAGACUCCUACGGGAGGCAGCAGUGGGGAAUCUUGCGCAAUGGGCGAAAGCCUGACGCAGCCAUGCCGCGUGGAUGAUGAAGGUCUUGGGAUUGUAAAAUUCUUUUACCAGGGACGAUAAUGACGGUACCUGGAGAAAAAGCCCCGGCUAACUUCGUGCCAGCAGCCGCCGUAAUAC